AGUGAACGCUGGCGGUAGGCCUAACACAUGCAAGUCGAGCGGCAGCACAGUAAGAGCUUGCUCUUACGGGUGGCGAGUGGCGGACGGGUGAGGAAUACAUCAGAAUCUACUUUUUCGUGGGGGAUAACGUAGGGAAACUUACGCUAAUACCGCAUACGACCUACGGGUGAAAGCAGGGGAUCUUCGGACCUUGCGCGAUUGAAUGAGCCGAUGUCGGAUUAGCUAGUUGGCGGGGUAAAGGCCCACCAAGGCGACGAUCCGUAGCUGGUCUGAGAGGAUGAUCAGCCACACUGGAACUGAGACACGGUCCAGACUCCUACGGGAGGCAGCAGUGGGGAAUAUUGGACAAUGGGCGCAAGCCUGAUCCAGCCAUACCGCGUGGGUGAAGAAGGCCUUCGGGUUGUAAAGCCCUUUUGUUGGGAAAGAAAAGCAGCAGGUUAAUACCCCGCUGUUCUGACGGUACCCAAAGAAUAAGCACCGGCUAACUUCGUG
rnacentral:rRNA from 1 species